CUGUGUUGGAGAUCAACUCCACCGUUAAAUGUCACAUGAAAAGCACGUGUGAAGGUCGGGCUUCUUUAAUUUUGACUCAUUUGAUAUGCUUGGAUUAUUAUUAUUAUUAUUAAGCAGAACAGACCGGUUACUGCCAUAUACUUUAUUGAUAAAAUUAAAAUGAUUGCACAACCCAAGGACUCAGCCAUAUAAAUGUACUGGCACCCAAUGAACUGAAGCUCCCAUCGGCUGAGGUCUCUA
rnacentral:lncRNA from 1 species